rnacentral:rRNA from 1 species
CCGGCGACCGGCGCACGGGUGAGUAACACGUAUGCAACCUGGCCGUGACAGAUGGAUAACCGGGAGAAAUCCCGCCUAAUACAGCAUGACGCCGGGAAGGGACAUCCCUUUCCGGCCAAAGGGGGCGACUCCGGUCACGGAUGGGCAUGCGGCGCAUUAGGUAGUUGGUGGGGCAACGGCCCACCAAGCCGACGAUGCGUAGGGGUUCUGAGAGGAGGUCCCCCACAUUGGAACUGAGACACGGUCCAAACUCCUACGGGAGGCAGCAG